rnacentral:lncRNA from 1 species
AUGCUACAGUAAGCUAUAUUUUCUUUCUUUCCGAUCCAUUUGUUCUCACGCCAAUUGAUGUAUUUGGUAUCUUUAACAACACUCACAUUCUGCAGUGUCGACAACAAUCCCAAUCUUCUUUGCACAACUCGUUCAUGUGUGAAAAAAGGACAUACGAAAAAGAGUAUCAUUGUACCAGUGGUUGCAUCAAUUGCUUCAUUAGCUGUUCUUAUAGGUGCAUUCGUCCUGUUCAUUGUUCUCAGAAAGAAAAAGGCAUCAAAAGUUGAAGGUAUUAAUAAAUAAGCUCAAGAGUAAUAUCAAAACAUGAAUACUCAUCAAAUUAACUUAACCAAAUUUGGCCUUGUAACCUUAGGGCCACAAACAUCGUAUAUGCAAGCAUCAAAUGGUAGACCAUCUCAACCGGCAAUAAUGACAAAGAAUAGAAGGUUUAAUUACUCAGAAGUUGUGACGAUGACAAAUAACUUUCAAAGAGUCCUUGGUAAAGGAGGAUUUGGAAUCGUUUACCAUGGUUUUGUGAACGGUACAGAACAAGUAGCUGUUAAGAAGCUCUCCCAUUCCUCAUCUCAAGGAUAUAAACAAUUUAAAGCUGAGGUAAAUUCUCACAUUCGCACUAUCUCGAACGAAAACAUCAAUGAUUCAAUUAUUUUUAGAAACUUGAAAUUGUGUUUUCUGGCUUGGUGUUUAGGUAGA